CUUGCAAAUUUAUCAUGAGAAUUUUCCAGUCCAACCAGAUACAUCUGUUCAGGGGCCCUUUAUUGUGGUGGCUUAAUCUGCAUCACUAGCCUAGCAGGAGGAGCAAGAAGCACGUUAUGCCUUCUGCAUUUGAUGAUUUGGGAGAAGUGUGAGCAGAACAGCUGUACAAAGAGAUUGGGAGAGAUUAGAAACACAGUAUGACAAAAUGAGAUUUGUUUUAGCAAAACCAGACUGAAGCAACUGAGGAAAAGUAUUAUGUAUUUGUGGGCACAAUAGAAAGUUGGAAAUCUGUAACACUGAAAGAGAACUUGCCAGAGAGUUGCUUAAACAAGAAUCAGCAGUGUGAUGAGAACAAAAAAUGAUCUGUACAUUUUUUGUCCAUUUCAGGUGGAGCAGAGGCACCUGACACUGGAAGAUGGAAUGCAACUUGACACCAUUUACAGUCACAGUGUCCCCAGCAGACAGGUCCAAAGUCUGCCACCCUCAACAGAGCAAACAACAGCUGCUAAAAAGUUGAAAGUUGAAAAUAAGGAAGAAGUUUAAAUGCGUAGUUUUGUUUUGAUAAGAGACAAAUCCUGUAAAUAAGGAAUUUAGAACAUCUCACAUUAUGUGAGUGCUGAAAUAAUAAGCUCUGCAGAUGGUUUGCAAAGAGACAGGCAAAGAGAUACAGAAAACUCUCCAGAAUAUGGUCAAGAAUUGAAAGCAAAGAAGACACAUAUUCAUGUGAAAAAAGGUAUGUAUCUGAGUUUAUGAAAACAUGCUACAGAUAUGACUGUAAAUGCCUCCUUUAAGCUGGAUGAACAAAAUCAUCCAGUGCCUUCCCACUGUGCCCUGUAGAUCUGAUGGAGAGCCCAGCUGCAACCUAGCACAUGCUGGCUGUUCCCCCUCCCUCAGCCUUCCCCAUGACUUCUCUGUGGAGUGGGGAGACCUCUGCAGGCAGGAUAAAUCCAGCACUGCUGCAGGCGUGCAGAAGACAACGGCCCGAUUCUCUGACAGGGCAGUUAGUUACAGGGGUUUGUUGGGGUUUGAGUUUUUGUUUAUGUGUUUCUUUUUGAGUAUGGGUUGGGGUUUUUUGAUUGGUUGAGUUGGGGUUUUGUUUGUUUGUUUCAGUAUUCUGGUAUUAGUUCAUUAAUUCUUCCUCUUUUAAUAACCCCCUUUCAAGUGUUGACAUAUCAGGGCUGCAUGUAUGAGCUGACACAUGCAAAUCUUGGUCACAAUUAUUUUCUCUAAUUUAACAUUGAAUUAGUAGCCCACUGCUUUCUACACAAAUUUUGUGCAAAGAGACCAACAGUAUUCUCACCUAAGAUCUGGUGUCAGGAGAUGGAAAAAUGCUGUGCCCUGUAGCCCAGAAUUGCCUUUGGAAGAAGGGAUGAACACUGUAAAACAAUUGCUAACAGAAAGGUAAGCUCCAUAGGCAGAGAAAGGAACCUUGCCAUGUAACCCUGUGCUAAACCACAGGAUUUCUACAGCUCUUCUACCAAGUCAACAUGGAAGAAGUUCAGGAGCCUGACUUUACCUUCUGAGAAAACUCUGGGGGUUGCAUUCUUUCACUUGUAAGGAACUAGUCUACCCAAGAGGUACUGGAUGGCUACCCAGGCUCUGAGAUCUACCUCUGCUCUAGGAAUUAAAGUUCUCUUCAAAUUACAGGAUGAUUUUCUUGAGGAUGCCAAUAAAAUUACCUGCCAUGAAAUCUGGUGCAGGAGACAUAUUUCACACGAACAGGUCACCCCAGCCCCCACUCCUCACCAGAGGGCAGAUCAAAAGGGGCACUUGCCCUAACUUACAGCAGCAAAGAUGAUGGCUGUAACUCUUUUCCAACUGCAGGAAGGUUUCUGUAUUAUUCUCCUCAAGACUGCAAGAAAAAAGGUUCUUCAAAGGCAGGAACAAACCUGAAAAAAAUCACCUAUCAUGGACCUGAACAGGGGUUUCGAUGGUCUGCUGCUGGCAUGCAUUGUUACUGAGAAACAUGAAAACAAGCUGAGUUGGAUGUGCUUGUCCAACACAUAAAUACUUGACCUGAGGAACUAGCUAUUCCAAAGAAUUAAUCCUGAAAUGUAAUACAGACUGCCUGAAAGUACCUGAAGUAGGUGAUUGCCCUCCACAGAGAGCAAAGCUGAUCCUCUUCUGUGGCUGAGCACAGCCAAGUGUGUUGAUCCUAAAGCUGAACAAAAAGCACAAACAACAGCGCAAGGAUGCCUAGGUUGUCAUCCUGAACUGCCAUGUCUUUUCUUGAGAUACUGGUGGGGCAAAGGUAGAGAGGAGACUGCAUGUGGAAACUUAGUCUUGACUUUAAAUGAAGCCUUGGGCACAGCAUGAGUCCAGAAUUGCAGGGAAAAUGUGCAGCUCUUCUAUCGCUACCCUCUCUACUUCUCUCUAGCAUUGCUGAUGGUGAGUAAACUAGUGAGUCUCUCAUCAUAGUGACAUUGUGUUUCCUACUAUUCAGUAGCAUCCAAAUAGAUCUAAGUGUGCAGAAGUCACUCCUUCUGUCCCCUGCUAGGAAAAGGGUUGUAUUAACUGGCAUUUUGAGGCCAUUCCUGAAUUCCAGUAUUCCACUGUCUCCUUUUACCACCACCACCAUCACUGGUCCACUUCUGAAGUAUGAUCAACAGUGCAAUCUCAUAUGACUUGGUUUGGGACAUCAGUUAUUUUGACCAUCUUAGGUAGUUAACUAGUGCCCCCUAGAAGUUAAUAUUGAUAAUAACAAUUAUUUUAGAUAUAUUCUUGAAUAGGAA